GACGAACGCUGGCGGCGUGCUUAACACAUGCAAGUCGAACGGAAAGGCCCUGCUUUUGUGGGGUGCUCGAGUGGCGAACGGGUGAGUAACACGUGAGUAACCUGCCCUUGACUUUGGGAUAACUUCAGGAAACUGGGGCUAAUACCGGAUAGGAGCUCCUGCUGCAUGAUGGGGGUUGGAAAGUUUCGGCGGUUGGGGUUGGACUCGCGGCUUAUCAGCUUGUUGGUGGGGUAGUGGCUUACCAAGGCUUUGACGGGUAGCCGGCCUGAGAGGGUGACCGGCCACAUUGGGACUGAGAUACGGCCCAGACUCCUACGGGAGGCAGCAGUGGGGAAUAUUGCACAAUGGGCGGAAGCCUGAUGCAGCAACGCCGCGUGCGGGAUGACGGCCUUCGGGUUGUAAACCGCUUUCGCCUGUGACGAAGCGUGAGUGACGGUAAUGGGUAAAGAAGCACCGGCUAACUACGUG
rnacentral:rRNA from 1 species